rnacentral:rRNA from 1 species
AUGCACGCUGGCGGCGUGCCUCAUACCUGCAAGUCGAGCGAACAGACGAGGAGCUUGCUCCUCUGACGUUAGCGGCGGACGGGUGAGUAACACGUGGAUAACCUACCUAUAAGACUGGGAUAACUUCGGGAAACCGGAGCUAAUACCGGAUAAUAUGUUGAAUCGCAUGGUUCAACAGUGAAAGACGGUCUUGCUGUCACUUAUAGAUGGAUCCGCGCCGCAUUAGCUAGUUGGUAAGGUAACGGCUUACCAAGGCAACGAUGCGUAGCCGACCUGAGAGGGUGAUCGGCCACACUGGAACUGAGACACGGUCCAGACUCCUACGGGAGGCAGCAGUAGGGAAUCUUCCGCAAUGGGCGAAAGCCUGACGGAGCAACGCCGCGUGAGUGAAGAAGGUCUUCGGAUCGUAAAACUCUGUUAUUAGGGAAGAACAAAUGUGUAAGUAACUAUGCACGUCUUGACGGUACCUAAUCAGAAAGCCACGGCUAACUACGUG